GUCUAUGGCCAUGCCACCUUGAACAAGCCCCAUACCUGAUUGUGGAAGCUAAGCAAGGUCGGGCCUGGUCAGUACUUGGAUGGGAGACCACGUAGGAAUAUCAGGUGCUAUAGGCA
rnacentral:rRNA from 1 species